rnacentral:rRNA from 1 species
AGUGAACGCUGGCGGUAGGCCUAACACAUGCAAGUCGAACGGCAGCACAGUAAGAGCUUGCUCUUACGGGUGGCGAGUGGCGGACGGGUGAGGAAUACAUCGGAAUCUACUUUUUCGUGGGGGAUAACGUAGGGAAACUUACGCUAAUACCGCAUACGACCUACGGGUGAAAGCAGGGGAUCUUCGGACCUUGCGCGAUUGAAUGAGCCGAUGUCGGAUUAGCUAGUUGGCGGGGUAAAGGCCCACCAAGGCGACGAUCCGUAGCUGGUCUGAGAGGAUGAUCAGCCACACUGGAACUGAGACACGGUACAGACUCCUACGGGAGGCAGCAGUGGGGAAUAUUGGACAAUGGGCGCAAGCCUGAUCCAGCCAUACCGAGUGGGUGAAGAAGGCCUUCGGGUUGUAAAGCCCUUUUGUUGGGAAAGAAAAGCAGCAGGUUAAUACCCCGCUGUUCUGACGGUACCCAAAGAAUAAGCACCGGCUAACUUCGUG